AGCUGAACAGCUCACUGCCCUAAAGUGUUCUUGCUCAUGCCUGGCUGAGUUAUUGAAGAAAUUGCUCAGAUCUCAAGCCCUUGUAGAUCACUGGUCCUGGCAGAUGUUUAAACUGUGUUUUCCCAGAGUUUGUGCUAUAACCUAAAUGAGCUGGAGUCCUGGAGGUGCACUGGAACUGUACUGAAAUGUAGCACUGCGUCUGCAUCAGUCUCUCACUUGGCGGAAUAAUAUCUUCAAAGCUUUGAUUAUCUAAUCACAACUCUACAUUUUAGAGGAGCAAGCCUGGUAUGCAACACAGCAGGGUUUUUAAAGACUUCAAUAUGAUGAUGUCCU
rnacentral:lncRNA from 1 species